rnacentral:rRNA from 1 species
GAUGAACGCUAGCUACAGGCUUAACACAUGCAAGUCGAGGGGCAGCAUGAAGUUUGCUUGCAAACUUUGAUGGCGACCGGCGGAUGGGUGAGUAACGCGUAUCCAACCUGCCCCCUUCCCGGGGCACAGCCCCUUGGAAACGAGGAUUAACUCCCGAUGGCGUCGCCUUAACGCAUGUUUCGGCGACCAAAUGUUUAAGGAAGGGGAUCGGGGAUGCGUCCCAUUAGCUUGUUGGCGGGGUAACGGCCCACCAAGGCUCCGAUGGGUAGGGGUUCUGAGAGGAAGGUCCCCCACGACUGGAACUGAGACACGGGUCCAGACUCCUACGGGAGGCAGCAGUGAGGAAUAUU